rnacentral:rRNA from 1 species
UCUGGUGGCUUGAGCGGCGUGCCCAGAACCCGAUCCCAUCUCGAACUCGGCCGUUAAACACGCCAGCGCCCAUGGUACUGUGU